GCGCACCAGUCGCGAAUCCUCCGCAAUGCGCGAAAGAGCGACGGGGCCACCCCGAGUGCCGCCCGCUGAGGGCGGCUUUUCCCCGGUGUAGACAGCCGGGGGAAUAAGGGGAGGGCAAGUCUGGUGUCAGCCGCCGCGGUAAUACCAGCUCCCCGAGUGGUGGGGACGAUUAUUGGGCCUAAAGCGUCCGUAGCCGGCCCGGCAAGUCUCCCGUUAAAUCCAGCGAUCUAAUCGCUGGACUGCGGGAGAUACUGUCGGGCUAGGGGGGCGGGAGAGGCCGGCGGUAUUCCCCGGGGUAGGGGUGAAAUCCUAUAAUCCCGGGAGGACCACCAGUGGCGAAGGCUGCCGGCUGGAACGCGCCCGACGGUGAGGGACGAAAGCCGGGGGAGCGAACCGGAUUAGAUACCCCUGUAGU
rnacentral:rRNA from 1 species